rnacentral:rRNA from 1 species
GAUGAACGCUGGCGGCGUGCUUAACACAUGCAAGUCGAACGAAGCACUUUAUUUUAUUUCCUUCGGGACUGAUUAUUUUGUGACUGAGUGGCGGACGGGUGAGUAACGCGUGGGUAACCUGCCUUGUACAGGGGGAUAACAGUUGGAAACGGCUGCUAAUACCGCAUAAGCGCACAGCAUCUCAUGAUGCAGUGUGAAAAACUCCGGUGGUAUAAGAUGGACCCGCGUUGGAUUAGCUAGUUGGUGAGGUAACGGCCCACCAAGGCGACGAUGCAUAGCCGACCUGAGAGGGUGACCGGCCACAUUGGGACUGAGACACGGCCCAAACUCCUACGGGAGGCAGCAGUGGGGAAUAUUGCACAAUGGGCGAAAGCCUGAUGCAGCGACGCCGCGUAAGAGAAGAAGUAUUUCGGUAUGUAAAGCUCUAUCAGCAGGGAAGAUAAUGACGGUACCUGACGAAGAAGCACCGGCUAAAUACGUG